AUCGAACGCUGGCGGCAUGCCUUACACAUGCAAGUCGAACGGCAGCACGGGAGCAAUCCUGGUGGCGAGUGGCGAACGGGUGAGUAAUGUAUCGGAACGUGCCCAGUCGUGGGGGAUAACGCAGCGAAAGCUGUGCUAAUACCGCAUACGAUCUAUGGCUGAAAGCGGGGGAUCGCAAGACCUCGCGCGAUUGGAUCGGCCGAUAUCAGAUUAGCUAGUUGGUGGGGUAAAAGCUUACCAAGGCGACGAUCUGUAGCUGGUCUGAGAGGACGACCAGCCACACUGGAACUGAGACACGGUCCAGACUCCUACGGGAGGCAGCAGUGGGGAAUUUUGGACAAUGGGCGCAAGCCUGAUCCAGCAAUGCCGCGUGCAGGAUGAAGGCCUUCGGGUUGUAAACUGCUUUUGUACGGAGCGAAAAGGCUUUCUCUAAUACAGGGGGCUCAUGACGGUACCGUAAGAAUAAGCACCGGCUAACUACGUGCCAGCCGCCGCCGUAAGAC
rnacentral:rRNA from 1 species